CCAUGCUGCCGAGAACACGAAUUAAUCAACACGGUCGACCCAUCGCCCACCGACACGACUACAUUCCGCUCCUGGCCGUCCUCUUUCUGGCCACGUACGUGUUGGUUCCAAACACGACGAGACGAAAUUCUCUGAAUUCCAAAAGUAAAAAAAAAAGGAAAAAGAAAAAGGAUUGAAAUUAUCUGGUGGUUGAGGGUUCAAAUCCGCGAGAUAUUGUUCGGAUUCCUGCCCGAGCGAUCGUGCCAACAAAUCCUUCUCUAUACCCGCACUAGAUACCAGUAUACCACAUACGGAGUACUCGUGUUCUCAGUAUUUCUCCGUCGAACCAUAUCAUUACCAGCUUUAUCAUUUCCCCACUGGACUCCAUGUCAUACAAGGACACGGUGUGUCGGCGUCAACACGGAGUAAAACAUCAUCACGGCAUUAUACCAAUUAAUUGCCACAAGCUGGCAAGAACAGCACCAUCGGCGGCAUUACCGUUUGCCAGAAGCUAGCAAGAACAACAAGCAAACAAUGUCGACUCGACCCGUAUGAUACAGCCUCUUGCUGGACCAUAAACGGCACCACAGACGUCACUGGAGCGCUCGGGUGCCUUUUGUUCCCGAUCGGCACCCGCCGUGCGGCGGGGCCCAAGCAGAACGAUGCUUGUCCCGGUAUGCACGAACAGAGCCCUCGCGAGGAGGACCACACGUACACACGCACGACCACACGU
rnacentral:lncRNA from 1 species